rnacentral:tRNA from 1 species
GCCGGGAUGGCGGAACGGGUAGACGCAGGGGACUUAAAAUCCCCCGGCCAGUGGGUCGUGCGGGUUCGAGCCCCGCUCCCGGCA